rnacentral:sRNA from 1 species
CAACAACAACAAGAAG